GACGAACGCUGGCGGCGUGCUUAACACAUGCAAGUCGAGCGGUAGGGCCCUUUCGGGGGUACACGAGCGGCGAACGGGUGAGUAACACGUGGGUGACCUGCCCUCAGCUCUGGGAUAAGCCUGGGAAACUGGGUCUAAUACUGGAUAUGACUCCACGGUGCAUGUCGUGGGGUGGAAAGCCUUGUGCGGCUGAGGAUGGGCCCGCGGCCUAUCAGCUUGUUGGUGGGGUGANGGCCUACCAAGGCGACGACGGGUAGCCGGCCUGAGAGGGCGACCGGCCACACUGGGACUGAGACACGGCCCAGACUCCGUACGGGAGGCAGCAGUGGGGAAUCUUGCGCAAUGGGCGAAAGCCUGACGCAGCGACGCCGCGUGAGGGAUGACGGCCU
rnacentral:rRNA from 1 species